GAACGCACAUUGCGCCCCUUGGUAUUCCAUGGGGCAUGCCUGUUCGAGCGUCAUUUGUACCCUCAAGCUAUGCUUGGUGUUGGGUGUUUGUCCUCUCCCUAGUGUUUGGACUCGCCUUAAAAUAAUUGGCAGCCAGUGUUUUGGUAUUGAAGCGCAGCACAAGUCGCGACUCGUAACAAAUACUUGCGCCCACAAGCCUUUUUAACUUUUGACCUCGGAUCAGGUAGGGAUACCCGCUGAACUUA
rnacentral:misc_RNA from 1 species